rnacentral:rRNA from 1 species
UACGUAGGGGGCAAGCGUUGUCCGGAAUCAUUGGGCGUAAAGCGCGUGUAGGCGGCCCGGUAAGUCCGCUGUGAAAGUCCAGGGCUCAACCCUGGGAUGCCGGUGGAUACUGUCGGGCUCGAGUCCGGAAGAGGCGAGUGGAAUUGCCGGUGUAGUGGUGAAAUGCGCAGAUAUCGGGAGGAACACCAGCGGCGAAGGCGGCACUCUGGGCUGGAACUGACGCUCAGGAGCGAAAGCGUGGGUAGCGAACAGG